rnacentral:rRNA from 1 species
ACGGUUAGUUAAACACGUGAGACACCCUGGUCCUGACUUUGGAUAGCCGUGAUGCGUCUAAUCCGAUACGACGGCACUUCAUGUGGAGGUGAAGUCUCGUCAGAUGACUCGCGGCCAUCAGCUGUGUGGGGUACGCUACCAAUGCGAUACGGUAGCUGCUGAGAGGGCGACUGCCACCACUGGGACUGAGACACGGCCCAGACUCUGCGGAGGCAGCAGUGGGGAAUAUGCGCAAUGGGCGAAGCUGACGCAGCGACGCCGCGUGGGGGGAUGACGGCUUUCGGGUUGUAAACCUCUUUUACCACCAACGCAGGCUCGAAGUUUUCUUCGGGUUGACGGUAGGUGGGGAAUAAGGACGGGCUAACUACGUGCCAGCAGCCGCGGUAAUACGUAGGGUCCGAGCGUUGUCUGGAAUUAUUGGGCGUAAAGAGCUCGUAGGCGGCGUGUCGCGUCUGCUGUGAAAGACCGGGGCUUAACUCCGGUUCUGCAGUGGAUACGGGCAUGCUAGAGGUAGGUAGGGGAGACUGGAAUUCCUGGUGUAGCGGUGAAAUGCGCAGAUAUCAGGAGGAACACCGGUGGCGAAGGCGGGUCUCUGGGCCUUACCUGACGCUGAGGAGCGAAAGCAUGGGGAGCGAACAGGAUUAGAUACCCUGGUAGUCCAUGCCGUAAACGUUGGGCGCUAGGUGUGGGGACUUUCCACGGUUUCCGCGCCGUAGCUAACGCAUUAAGCGCCCCGCCUGGGGAGUACGGCCGCAAGGCUAAAACUCAAAGGAAUUGACGGGGGCCCGCACAAGCGGCGGAGCAUGUUGCUUAAUUCGACGCAACGCGAAGAACCUUACCAAGGUUUGACAUCACCCGUGGACUCGCAGAGAUGUGAGGUCAUUUAGUUGGCGGGUGACAGGUGGUGCAUGGCUGUCGUCAGCUCGUGUCGUGAGAUGUUGGGUUAAGUCCCGCAACGAGCGCAACCCUUGUUCCAUGUUGCCAGCACGUAAUGGUGGGGACUCAUGGGAGACUGCCGGGGUCAACUCGGAGGAAGGUGGGGAUGACGUCAAGUCAUCAUGCCCCUUAUGUCUUGGGCUGCAAACAUGCUACAAUGGCCGGUACAAUGGGCGUGCGAUACCGUAAGGUGGAGCGAAUCCCUAAAAGCCGGUCUCAGUUCGGAUUGGGGUCUGCAACUCGACCCCAUGAAGGUGGAGUCGCUAGUAAUCGCGGAUCAGUAACGUAUAGAUCAAA